GUCUUUGCGCUUGGGGCAAUGACGCAGCUAAUGAGGUACUAACCGAGGCGCGUCUAUUGCUGGUUGAAAACUAUUUCCAAACCCCCUCCUGGGCCUAAGCUUGUCUUGGGCCUUCGAGAAUUUCUGGAAGGGCUCCCUUCGGGGUAAAGCC
rnacentral:snRNA from 2 species